UACGAAGGGGGCUAGCGUUGCUCGGAAUCACUGGGCGUAAAGCGCACGUAGGCGGACUCUUAAGUCAGGGGUGAAAUCCUGGAGCUCAACUCCAGAACUGCCUUUGAUACUGAAGAUCUUGAGUUCGGGAGAGGUGAGUGGAACUGCGAGUGUAGAGGUGAAAUUCGUAGAUAUUCGCAAGAACACCAGUGGCGAAGGCGGCUCACUGGCCCGAUACUGACGCUGAGGCACGAAAGCGUGGGGAGCAAACAGGG
rnacentral:rRNA from 1 species